AUGAUCAUCAUCAGCCAACGUACUUACUAUCAUUCGGGCGAGAAAAUAAAAGGAAAAUACCCCAAGGUGUUUUGCCUGCUAUGGUUAAGAUUUGGUAGAGAUUUUUAUUUCUUUUUAGAAGUUUGCUUCGCGGAUCCCCCAUUCAGGCUCGAUCAGGCAUGUCGGCGUCUCAUUUAAAUCGCUGUUCUAGCCUGCUUUAGUUCGUGUCUCGAGUUUUAUGAUCCGAUCGGUGUAAGUAGCUGCUAACUUUGAGAUGAAAUGUCCACUCUCGGAUCAGCUCAACUCGAUGCGAUGCGAAGACAAUGCUGCGCUAAACUCGCUCGUUCGUCCUAGAAAUCCAAAAGGGGUACUUUUACCGCGUAAGUUUUUCCGUGUAGCGAAGCUCGCGCUCGCAGUCCUUUCAAUCGAUUUAACAAUCGAUCUUGUUGCAGAGGCAGCAGCGGCGGAGAUAUCUGCAUGAGAGCCAAG
rnacentral:lncRNA from 1 species